UACGUAGGGUGCGAGCGUUGUCCGGAAUUAUUGGGCGUAAAGAGCUCGUAGGCGGCUUGUUGCGUCUGCCGUGAAAAUUCACAGCUUAACUGUGGACGUGCGGUGGAUACGGGCAGGCUUGAGUUCGGAAGGGGCAACUGGAAUUCUUGGUGUAGCGGUGAAAUGCGUAGAUAUCAAGAGGAACACCUGCGGCGAAGGCGGGUUGCUGGGCCGACACUGACGCUGAGGCGCGAAAGCCAGGGGAGCGAACGGG
rnacentral:rRNA from 1 species